UGCUUCUCUGGACAGUGCCCUC
rnacentral:piRNA from 2 species